GAUUAACGCUAGCGGCAGGCCUAAUACAUGCAAGUCGAACGGUAACAUGUGUAGCAAUACAUGAUGACGAGUGGCGCACGGGUGCGUAACACGUAUGCAACAUACCUAUAACUGGGGAGUAGCCUUCCGAAAGGAAGAUUAACACCGCAUAAUACUUUGAGAAGACAUCUUUUUAAAGUUACAAACCUACCGGGGUUAGUAGAUUGGCAUGCGUCUGAUUAGAUAGUUGGCGGGGUAAC
rnacentral:rRNA from 1 species